GAUGAAGAACGCAGUGAAAUGCGAUAAUUAAUGUGAAUUGCAGAAUUCAGUGAAUCAUCGAGUCUUUGAACGCACAUUGCGCCCCCUGGUAUUCCGGGGGGCAUGCCUGUCCGAGCGUCAUUGCUGCCCUCAAGCACGGCUUGUGUGUUGGGCUUCCGUCCCUGGCAACGGGGACGGGCCCAAAAGGCAGUGGCGGCACCAUGUCUGGUCCUCGAGCGUAUGGGGCUUUGUCACCCGCUCCCGUAGGUCCAGCUGGCAGCUAGCCUCGCAACCAAUCUUUUUAACCAGGUUGACCUCGGAUCAGGUAGGGAUACCCGCUGAACUUAAGCAUAUCAAUAAGUGGAGGA
rnacentral:misc_RNA from 1 species